GCACUGCUGAGGAGUCCCACAAUAGGACAAAAUGACCGUCCAGUGC
rfam:Schistosoma margrebowiei strain Zambia genome assembly, scaffold: SMRZ_contig0000510